rnacentral:rRNA from 1 species
CCUACGGGAGGCAGCAGUGAGGAAUAUUGGUCAAUGGACGAGAGUCUGAACCAGCCAAGUAGCGUGAAGAAUGACUGCCCUAUGGGUUGUAAACUUCUUUUAUAAAGGAAUAAAACGAGGCACGUGUGCCUUUUUGCAUGUACUUUAUGAAUAAGGAUCGGCUAACUCCGUGCCAGCAGCCGCGGUAAUACGGAGGAUCCGAGCGUUAUCCGGAUUUAUUGGGUUUAAAGGGAGCGUAGAUGGGUUGUUAAGUCAGUUGUGAAAGUUUGCGGCUCAACCGUAAAAUUGCAAUUGAUACUGGCAGUCGUGAGUACAGUUGAGGUAGGCGGAAUUCGUGGUGUAGCGGUGAAAUGCUUAGAUAUCACGAAGAACCCCGAUUGCGAAGGCAGCUUACUAAACUGUGACUGACAUUGAUGCUCGAAAGUGUGGGUAUCAAACAGGAUUAGAUACCCGAGUAGUC